rnacentral:rRNA from 1 species
CCUACGGGGGGCAGCAGUGAGGAAUAUUGGUCAAUGGCCGGAAGGCUGAACCAGCCAUGCCGCGUGAAGGUCAGUGCCCUAUGGGCGUUAAACUUCUUUUGUGCGGGAGCAAUAAUGGUCACGUGUGGCCAGACGAGAGUACCGUACGAAUAAGCAUCGGCUAACUCCGUGCCAGCAGCCGCGGUAAUACGGGGGAUGCAAGCGUUAUCCGGAUUUAUUGGGUUGAAAGGGUGCGUAGGCUGUGAGGUAAGUCAGCGGUGAAAUGCCCCCGCUCAACGGGGUGAAGGGCCAUUGAUACUGCCUUGCUGGAAUGCGGAUGCGGAGGGAGGAAUGUGUGGUGUAGCGGUGAAAGGCAUAGAUAGCACACAGAACACCGAUUGCGAAGGCAUCUCACGAAUCCGCGAUUGACGCUGAUGCACGAAAGCGUGGGUAGCAAACAGGAUUAGAUACCCGAGUAGUC